rnacentral:tRNA from 1 species
CGGGUGUAGUUUAGUGGUAAAACCUCAGCCUUCCAAGCUGAUGAUGUGAGUUCGAUUCUCAUCACCC